CACGUAGGGGGCAAGCGUUGUUCGGAAUUAUUGGGCGUAAAGGGCAUGUAGGCGGUUUGGUAAGCCUGAUGUGAAAUCCUGCAGCUUAACUGUAGAACUGCAUUGGGUACUGCCGAACUUGAAUCACUGAGGGGAAACUAGAAUUCCAGGUGUAGGGGUGGAAUCUGUAGAUAUCUGGAAGAAUACCGGUGGCGAAGGCGGGUUUCUAGCAGAUGAUUGACGCUGAGGUGCGAAAGUGCGGGGAGCGAACAGGAUUAGAUACCCUGGUAGUCCGCACCGUAAACGAUGUACACUAGGUGUCGGGGCAUGAGUCUCGGUGCCAAAGCUAACGUAAUAAGUGUACCGCCUGGGAAGUAUGCCCGCAAGGGUGAA
rnacentral:rRNA from 1 species